CCAGCAGGCUGCGGUUGGUGCUCAGGCGGCAGCGGGCCACCCCGUAACGGACGCAGGUGUCGCUGGACAGCUCCGGGGGCUGGUCGGCGAAGGGCCAGUGCCAGACGAGGACGCGCCCGGUUGCAGCCGCCCGAGGAUCUCAAAUCACAGCAGCCGCUAGGCAGAGGCGCCCUCAAAUCACAGCUGCGCCCCCGCGCCCGGCCCCACCUGGAAGCGAUCUCCUUUCAUCUGCCCAAGAUGACAGAAACCAGGGUAUCUUCCUGCUCCCGCUCCGCCCCGGCCCCCGCCCUGGGGGUGACCUUUGGCAACAGCCACCAUCCUGGUUCACCCGCCUGCCCGCCCGCUGGCUUUCUCCUCCGAGCCUCUGGCUGUGGGGGAGGGGGGCUAGGUGGUGCCAGGAGGGGCGCCAUCCAGAGCCCACACCAGGCCCCCCGCUCCCCUGCUGAAGGGGCCUGGGGCCAGCAGGGGAGGGGCCGUCCUGGGCCGAUGGGGGGGGGCCCCCUUCCCAGAAGAGCGCCCCGCUGGCAAGGACCCAGUCACUGCCCACCACCCAGGCCCGGAAAGCAGGGCGCACUUCCCUGGGAAGCCCCUCCUGCGGUAGCAUCACCCACUUCCCCUGCCCAACGCCUGCCCGCGCUGCCACUCCCAGACCCCCACGAAGACCUGCUGUGCUCAGCGCCCUGCCAGGAGCCUGAGCCUUCGGCCCGCAGCUUCUCACGGCGCUGCCCCGCCCCUCCUCACCCCUGCCGCCUCUAGCACGCCUGCCUCGCCACAGAACCCAGGUUCCCAGGGAGGGGGACUGCCCCGGGGUCCCGGGAGCGUCCACACCAGGCCACAGCACGUGCCUAGAAAGGGCAGGCGCCAGCCUGGGCCUGGCCCCAGGGUGGGCUGCAGGGCCACGCGCCUUCUUUCCUCACCCGAGGACACAUGUCCACGGAAGUCCCAGGGUCCCGGCCAGCCUGGAGUAUGGGCAGAGGCCUGCCCUUGGGGGCCUCCGGGCCUCUUCCUCCGGGUGCCACAGCCCAGGAUGGGGGUGGGGACAGGGAGGGGGCUUUCCAGGGUGGAAAGGGAAGGAGUCGCUGUGUCCCUGACGCUGGCAGGUAGGGGGCCGGUGCCUGCUCCAGGAAAAGGAAGGCAGAAGUCCAGAGGCCUUCUCCCCCCCCCCCACCGCUGCCCUCGGGCCAGCUCUGGGGGCCCAGGCCUGGAGGUCAAGUUCCUUCCCCUUCUUCUCCAGUUCCUCUGAGCGGGAGACACGGCAAACCAGCAAGGUCGGCCUCCCCUGAGCUCUGGCCCCCUCCCCACGCUCAGCUCAGCCAGCGCCCGUCUGCCUCCUUCAUCCUGGCUGGACCCUCACGUGGUCCCCGACGUGCCAGGGCAAGGACUGGCCCUCGUGCUCAGCUUCUGGAGGCCUCAGGCCGGUCCCGCUCUUGAAUCUGCGGGAUGGCUGUUGUGGAAGGAAGGGCAAACAGGAACUGUUGGCUGGGUCUGCUGCCCCACCCCAUUCUGGGGACCUUGCAGAGCCCGCUGUGCCCAUCCUUUUUCACUUUGUGGCACCUGAAGCUGCUGGCCUCUCCCAGCCCCCGCCCCCCCAGUGAGGACCAGACUGCUGUCAGGGUGGAGCCGGGAGCUGGCGUGAGAUCCACGGAGGAGACAGAGGCCGGUGCAGGAGAGGGGGCAGUGUGGCAUCUGUGGGGCUCCCCUGCCGCCGCAUAACCUCCGAGCUGCAGUGGGGCUUUGCGCAACGUGGAAGGAGGGGAGGGAGGCUGUGGGGUCUGGCGGCAACCAUCUGGCAGCCUGUGGUGUGGGUGCCGCAGCCAGGCCUGACUCGCUGCCGGUGGUCACCAGGGACUGCCCGGAGCAGCCCCCCCCCCCCGCCCCGCCGACGUUUAGGGGGAUGCCCCGGGUGGCGCUGAGCCUUUGGCCCCACCCUGGCAUCUCUUCACUGACGGGGGUACCACAGAGCAGCCACGCCCCGGCCUCAGCCCACCUCUCCUGCGGCAGGUACCCAGCAGGUGGGCAGGGGCCGAUCCCACGGCAGCAGCUAGGACCUGGCUUCUGGCUGCUGGCACCCGUGCCCUUCCUGUUUGCGCGGCCAGGCUGGCCAAGGCGCUCACCACAGGCCUCACCCACACCCACAGCCCGCUGCCUUUCUGGGUGGAUUGAAAGGACCCUCCCCGCCCUCCGCCGCAGGUCCACUGCUCCCCAGUCGCACACCUGCCAGCUCGGGUUGGCGGCCCCCUGUCAUGAAAACCUGCCGGCUGGGAAAUGGGGCCCUGAGGUUUGGCCUAGAAACAGGUCAGAAUGAGACGCUCUCAGGGGAAAGUCAAGAAGGUGAGAAAGCGUGAGUCAAAGGGAAAGCGGGGGCCUCAUCCUGCCGCCUCACCCCGGGCCCUGUGACUCUCUGGGACGCAGGCGGGCACCCAACGCCAUCUCUGCAGCCCGUGAGCAUCUUGGGAGCAGGAGCGUACCGUGGCUCCCCCGGCUGAGCCCUCGGGGCUGCUUCGGGGCCGGCCUCCUUGUGGGCACCCACUGAAGGAACCACAGAUGGGGGUGGGGGGCCCUGCCCCAGACGGAGGGCGGGCCACUGGCCACCUCCCCCUCGCAGACAGUGGCCAGGCAGCAGCACCUAGGGCGGUGGAGGGCUGGACCAGCGUUAGCGCCAGCCUGGGGGGCUGCCUCAGGGAAGGGGGGGCCACAGCCUAGCUGCCUGCCGGCCAAGGGUUAUCCUGAGCAGGGCAGAGUCCGUGCCUGUGCCCAGAAGGCCCCCUGGUGGCCGUGCUCCAAAGACACGUGCUCCCGCAGGGGAGGGAGCAAGGGCAGCACACCCUUCAUUGUCAAAGGCACGAUGAUGCUGGGGGUUCAGGGAAGCCUUUGGAAGGCGGGUGCAGAGAGUGGCAGGUAGGCAAGGAGCCCCCAGGCUGGGGGUGCAGCACGAGGGCUGUGCCGGGAGCCAGUUGCCGCGGGAGACAACUCUGAUCUCGAGCUGCAGAGGCCACGGGGACCAGCCACAAGGGCACACAGGUCCAGGCCAGCAGCACAGCGCCUCCUCUCCUACCCCUUCCCUUCCCGCCCAGGCCGGGAGCACGUUCACUUCCUCAUCCGAGACCAGCGCCAGAUGCCCAUGC